AGCUGAAGGCAGACGCUUGACCGAUUGAGCCACCCAGGCGCUCCUGGUCUCUAUGUAUUUUUAUCAGUUCUGAAUUUUUCUGGGAAAUCUUUCACAUUCUUUCUUAGAUCCAAGGUCUAUAUACAUAAUGUGAUUUAUAACUAUGCCCUAUGGAAAGAGCACCCCAUUCUUGUCUUUUUGUGUUACAGAUUUCUCUUGUACAAUUUCUCAUUGAAAAUUGCCUUAAAAUAUUUGGAGAAGACAUCACUUCCCUCUUGGGAGAGAACUCAAUGAGUCGUGGUAACAGCGAGCAGGCUGCAGACUCCAGCCUGAAGACUGUGAAAACCCGUUCUUUCAGAGAUAGGGCGUUUUGUCGGGGUUCCAGCACUUCCCAGCACAACCAGUGCACAGCCCCACCUUCUGCAAAGCCAGGACAGCUCUUUGGAGUUCCCCUCAUGGAUGUGUGUGAUAAAGACAACUUCUCCUUCCCAAUUCUGGAUUUUCUUAGAAAUAUACACGGAAGUAUAUUUUUAUCUGAUCACUAUGACAAAUGGCUCGGUGUUAUUGAUCAAGGCAACGAAGAGGAGAAGAUAACUGCAGCCCAGAGGUAAUGAUGCAAGAAUUACUCUGGUCAC